CCGUAAUAUAGCGAAGAUCACGAAAAGGCCCGAAAAAGUACAUUAAGGUCAAAAUUUCGAGUAGAAAUAAAAACCAAUAGAAGAAUUCCAAUUUCCUUCCUCAUUCAUUGGAGAGCUCUCUUUGGGCUUUCCGAAAAGGUAUCACAUGCGAAGUUUCGCCUCACAAUCUAAAAGUUAUAUAGUCAUACAUUUUUAACAAAACAAAUAGAGAAAAACCGAAAAAAAGAAUGAUACAACACAACGACUUUCCCGGAGGUCACCCAUCCUAAUACUAUUCUCGCCCAAGCAAGCUUAACUGCAGAGUAUUGAUGGGAUCUGAUGCAUAAGUGCUGAUAUGAUCGCAUCCGUUACUACAUGCAAAUGCAAUCGUAUCUAUUCGUUUUUGAAGACUUUAUGAUCCAUUUGCCGUGGGUCCCACCAGCUAUGUAGGAAUACCCUAUCUUGUUUAUAAGAGCUUUGAUACAUGCAAAAAAUUGGAAAACAAUGUCUGAACAUAUAAUUUUUGUCCCGUAAUAUAGCAAAGAUCACGAAAAGGAUAGAAAAAGUACAUUAAGGUCAAAAUUUUGAGUAGAAAAAAAAUCAAUAGAAGGA
rnacentral:sRNA from 1 species